rnacentral:lncRNA from 8 species
AUGCAAUCUGGUUUCAGAGCUGGUCAUGGGUGCACCUCAGCCACGCUCAAGGUCCUAAACGAUAUCUUAACUGCCAUCGAUAAGAAACAAUACUGUGCAGCCGUAUUCAUUGACCUGGCCAAGGCUUUCGUCAAUCAUCACAUCCUCAUCGGCAGACUCAACAGCCUUGGUUUCUCAAAUGACUGCCUCGCCUGGUUCACCAACUACUUCUCUGAUAGAGUUCAGUGUGUCAAAUCGGAGGGCCUGUUUCCCGGGCCUCUGGCAGUCUCUAUGGGGGUGCCACAGGGUUCAAUUCGUGAGCCGACUCUCUUCUCUGUAUACAUCAAUGAUGUCGCUCUUGCUGCUGGUGAUUCUCUGAACCACCUCUACGCAGACGACACCAUUCUGUAUACUUCUGGUCCUUCUUUGGACACUGUGUUAACAACCCUCCAGACGAGCUUCAAUGCCAUACAACUCUCCUUCCGUGGCCUCCAACUGCUCUUAAAUACAAGUAAAACUAAAUGCAUGCUCUUCAACCGAUCGCUGCCUGCACCUGCCUGCCCGUCCAGCGUCACUACUCUGGACGGUUCUGACUUAGAAUAUGUGGACAACUACAAAUACCUAGGUGUCUGGUUAGACUAUAAACUCUCCUUCCAGACUCACAUCAAACAUCUCCAAUCCAAAGUUAAUAAAUCUAGAAUUGGCUUCUUAUUUCACAACAAAGCAUCCUUCACUCAUGCUGCCAAACAUACCCUUGUAAAACUGACCAUCCUACCGAUCCUCGACAUCGGCGAUGUCAUUUACAAAAUAGCCUCCAAUACCCUACUCAAUAAAUUGGAUGCAGUCUAUCACAGUGCCAUCCGUUUUGUCACCAAAGCCCCAUAUACUACCUACCACUGCGACCUGUAUGCUCUCGUUGGCUGGCCCUCGCGUCAUACUCGUCGCCAAACCCACUGGCUGCAGGUCAUCUACAAGACCCUGCUAGGUAAAGUCCCCCCUUAUCUCAGCUCGCUGGUCACCAUAUCAGCAACCACCCGUAGCACGUGCUCCAGCAGGUAUAUCUCACUGGUCACCCCCAAAGCCAAUUCCUCCUUUGGCCGCCUCUCCUUCCAGUUCUCUGCUGCCAAUGACUGGAAUGAACUACAAAAAUCUCUGAAACUGGAAACACUUAUCUCCCUCUCUAGCUUUAAGCACCAUCUGUCAGAGCAGCUCACAGAUUACUGCACCUGUACAUAG